rnacentral:rRNA from 1 species
GAAAGUAAUGAAGGGCGUACGGUGGAUGCCUAGGCUCUUACAGGCGAUGAAGGACGUGAUAAGCUGCGAAAAGCCGCGGUGAGGCGCAAAUGGCCCUUGACCCGCGGAUCUCCGAAUGGGACAACCCAAUAUCUUGAAGAGAUAUUAUCCCGCCGGUGCGGGAGGCGAACGCGGGGAACUGAAACAUCUUAGUACCCGCAGGAAAAGAAAAUAAAGAAUGAUUCCCCCAGUAGUGGCGAGCGACCGGGGAAGAGCCCAAACCGACGUUGUCUCGGCAUCGUCGGGGUUGUAGGACCGCGCCAUCGCAAGAAAGGCCGUGAGUGGAAGCGACUGGAAAGCCGCGCCAUAGAGGGUGACAGCCCCUUACACGAAGCAGCCUGAAGCGUAGCGGACUCCUGAGUAGCGCGGGACACGAGUAAUCCUGUGUGAAUCCGCCGGGCCCAUCCGGCAAGGCUAAAUACUCGUAAGAGACCGAUAGUGAACCAGUACCGUGAGGGAAAGGUGAAAAGGACCCCUUGCAGGGGAGUGAAAGAGUUCCUGAAACCGUACGCCUACAAGCGGUCGGAGCAUCUUGAAUGAUGUGACGGCGUGCCUUUUGCAUAAUGAACCUACGAGUUGCCGUCACCAGCGAGGUUAAGUGCGACGACGCACCGAGCCGCAGCGGAAGCGAGUCUUAAAAGGGCGCGAUAGUUGGUGGAGGCAGACGCGAAACCGAGUGAUCUACACUUGUCCAGGAUGAAGUCCCGGUAACACGGGAUGGAGGUCCGCACCAAUAAGCGUUGAAAAGCUUCUGGAUGAGCCGAGUGUAGGAGUGAAAGGCCAAUCAAACUCGGAGAUAGCUCGUACUCCCCGAAAGGCAUUUAGGUGCCGCCUGUGGCGUUCCCGACGUGAGGUAGAGCGACUGAUAGGAUGCGAGGGCUUCACCGCCUAUCAAGUCCUGACAAACUCCGAAUGCACGUCGGCCAAGCCAUGGAGUAAGGGCAUGGGUGCUAAGGUCCGUGCCCGAGAGGAGAAGAAUCCAGACCACCGGCUAAGGUCCCGAAAUACUGGUUAAGUUAGACUAACGCAGUCCGGCCCCCAAGACAGCUAGGAUGUUGGCUUGGAAGCAGCCAUUCAUUCAAAGAGUGCGUAACAGCUCACUAGUCGAGGAGCUGGGCGUGGAUAAUAAUCGGGUAUAAAACCAGUUACCGAAGCCGUGGGAUGCUCAAGCAUCGGUAGGGGAGCAUUGCAUGCGGCUUGGAAGGCGGGGCGCGAGCCCCUCUGGAGCGCAUGGAAACGCAAAUGUAGGUAUAAGUAACGACAAGGGGGGUGGGAUGCCCCCCCGCCGAAAGACCAAGGUUUCCUGAACAACGCUAAUCGGUUCAGGGUCAGUCGGGUCCUAAGCAUAAGCCGUAUGGCGAGGGCGAUGGAUGAAACGGUUAAUAUUCCGUUACUGUCUUGGUGUGUGACGCGGCGACGGAGUAGUGACACGGCCGCCUCCUGACGGAAAAGGGGGUUGAAGCGCAAAGGUGUCGAGGAAGGCAGGCAAAUCCACCUUCCGAGCCGAAGCGCGAUAGUACGCCGGGCCCUUUGGGGCAAGGCGAUAGUGCCGGUAAUCAGACUUCCAAGAAAACCCGCUAAACUUCAGCACCAAGUCACCCGUACUCCAAACGGACACACGUGGUCGGGUAGAAUAUACUAAGGCGCUUGGGAGAUUCACGGUUAAGGAACUAGGCAAAUUGACCCCGUAACUUCGGAAUAAGGGGUCCUCGCUUUUGCGAGGCGCAGAGAAUAGGUCCAGGCAACUGUUUAACAAAAACACAGGGCUGUGCCAAUUUGAAAGAAGAAGUAUACAGCCUGACACCUGCCCGGUGCCGGAAGGUUAAGAGGAGAGCUCAUCAGCGAUGAGAAGGCUUGAAUUGAAGCCCCGGUAAACGGCGGCCGUAACUAUAACGGUCCUAAGGUAGCGAAAUUCCUUGUCGG